UCACAAAUGCAGGUCGAGGUUCACUUC
rnacentral:piRNA from 1 species